rnacentral:rRNA from 1 species
UACAGAGGUCUCAAGCGUUGUUCGGAUUCAUUGGGCGUAAAGGGUGCGUAGGUGGCGCCGUAAGCCAGGUGUGAAAUCUCGGGAGCUCAACUCCGAAACUGCACUUGAUACUGCGGUGCUCGAGUACUGGGAGAGGAGAUUGGAAUUUACGGUGUGCAGUGAAAUGCGUAGAUAUCGUAAGGGAAGACCAGUGGCGAAGGCGAAUCUCUGGAC